GGGGGGUAAGUAUAAUGGGUAAGGAACUAGUCUUGUAACCUAAAGGUCACAGGUUCGAUUCCUGGUACCCUUCA
rnacentral:tRNA from 1 species